UACGGAGGGUGCAAGCGUUAUCCGGAUUCACUGGGUUUAAAGGGUGCGUAGGUGGGUUGGUAAGUCAGUGGUGAAAUCUCCGAGCUUAACUUGGAAACUGCCAUUGAUACUAUUAAUCUUGAAUAUUGUGGAGGUCAGCGGAAUAUGUCAUGUAGCGGUGAAAUGCUUAGAUAUGACAUAGAACACCAAUUGCGAAGGCAGCUUACUACCCGAAUAUUGACACUGAGGCACGAAAAGCGUGGGGGAUCAAAACAGG
rnacentral:rRNA from 1 species